AGAGAGCCAGAACAGAACAUGGCGACACUGGGGUGAUGAGGUGUGGUGGUGGUGGCUGAUAUCAGAUGGAUCCUGACGCCUAAAUGGCGCUCAUUUGAUGGUGCUCUCUGAUGAUGCGUCACAUGCUACAGUACUUCAUUAUAGUGAAGCUGGACAGCGCUCGCGGUUCAUUAAAAAGCAAUAUGUGGAGGUGUGAUUGGCCAUUUCCUGCAGAUAAGUAUCUCCUCAUACAUUUAAAGAAGACAGCCGGACUAGACUGGAUCGUGGAUUCUCUUCAGCUGCAAUGUUGGGUGGCCUGAGGUGUUCAGGUGAAGUGUAGCUUUCACUGGUAGGCCUAAACUGAGGUGCUAGACCAGUCAAUCCCAACCUUUCUGUUGAUGAUGGACACCUGAGAGUCCAGACAGGCGCCAAGACAAACACACUUCUCAGUCUGUGUGAUUAUUGCGCCACAGUACGAAUAAUUCCCUGUGAAAGCAAAGACGGGAGACUGAGGGAGAAGGGCCGGCUGCUGUCAAGCUGAAGGACUUGAACGUGUCAGAUAUGAUAUAUGGGUAGAGGAGAGACCGGGGUCUGGUGCUGCUUUUUUUGCAAGCUCACCCACCAUCCCCAUCCUCCUCCUCUCUCCUCCUUAAUGAACUAUUUGAGCAGCAUGUUGCCUGUGAUAGAGAUCUGUUGCUGGACAUGGAGGAUAUUGCCUUACCUCUGGUGAGUGGUCCAUUCUUAAUCAAAUCAAUCAAAAUCUCGAUUUCCAAUAUAAGAAAAAGGAAAUAAACAGUUAUUGCUCUAUAAGUGAGAGUAUAGUAUUAGAAGUCAGAC
rnacentral:lncRNA from 1 species